GGUAGCGUGGCCGAGUUGGUCUAAGGCGUUGGAUUUAAGAAAUGUCUUGAUUCCCAAUGGGCGCGAGUCCGCGCGAGUUCGAACCUCGCCGCUACCA